rnacentral:rRNA from 1 species
UGGCGGCAUGCCUUACACAUGCAAGUCGAACGGCAGCACGGGUGCUUGCACCUGGUGGCGAGUGGCGAACGGGUGAGUAAUACAUCGGAACAUGUCCUGUAGUGGGGGAUAGCCCGGCGAAAGCCGGAUUAAUACCGCAUACGAUCUACGGAUGAAAGCGGGGGACCUUCGGGCCUCGCGCUAUAGGGUUGGCCGAUGGCUGAUUAGCUAGUUGGUGGGGUAAAGGCCUACCAAGGCGACGAUCAGUAGCUGGUCUGAGAGGACGACCAGCCACACUGGGACUGAGACACGGCCCAGACUCCUACGGGAGGCAGCAGUGGGGAAUUUUGGACAAUGGGCGAAAGCCUGAUCCAGCAAUGCCGCGUGUGUGAAGAAGGCCUUCGGGUUGUAAAGCACUUUUGUCCGGAAAGAAAUCCUUGGCCCUAAUACGGUCGGGGGAUGACGGUACCGGAAGAAUAAGCACCGGCUAACUACGUGCCAGCAGCCGCGGUAAUACGUAGGGUGCGAGCGUUAAUCGGAAUUACUGGGCGUAAAGCGCGCGUAGGUGGUUCGUUAAGUUGGAUGUGAAAUCCCCGGGCUCAACCUGGGAACUGCAUCCAAAACUGGCGAGCUAGAGUAGGGCAGAGGGGGGUGGAAUUCCUGUGUAGCGGUGAAAUGCGUAGAUUUAGGAAGAACCCCAGGGGCAAAGCAACACCUGGGCUCUACUGACCUGAAGUGCAAAGCGUGGGG